rnacentral:lncRNA from 1 species
AAAGUGGUUGUGAUCUUGAGGGUGAGGCAGACAAGUAACCAGUUGACUUAAAAGUUGAUCAGGAUAAGUCAAUGAUGCAGGAAUCUGCUGGAAAAACUCAGAGUGUUGGCUGCUCUUUGUUGCUUUUAGCAAAAUACAAAAGAGAGAAAUUCAGGUGAGAACCCAUGGCUUUGUAAACAGGUAUAGAAGAAAAUUGACUUCGGUUAAGAGAAGCUUACAAGCUGAGACCUGCAAUCUAAAUUGAUUUAAAAUCCAGAAGUCUGGAUUCUCACAAGAUUAGAAAAGCCAUCUGCUCCUGUAUCUCAGGCAGCAGUAGGUGCAAGGGUCUCUAGGUGCCUCCUUAGCUUCCAUGAGCUGAGCAAGAGUGCUGCCUCCCUACCAAGCCUACUGUUUCAGAAGGCCUUGGGGAGACAUCAUGAAAUAAAAAGACAGAGGGUGCACCGAGUUAAAUAGUGUUGCCUUGUAAUUAAUGUCCACCUGGAACUUGUGAAUGUAACCUUAUUUUUUAAAAAAGGGGUCUUAGCAGUUGUAAUCAGGCCGUAAUGAAUUAGGAUGGACUCUAAAUCCAAUAGGACUGGUGUCCUUAUAAAAAGGAAGAAACUUGGACACCGAAACAAGAAAGAAAGCCAUGCGAAGAUGAAGGCGGAGAUUUCAAGGAUGCUGGCAGGAGCCGAGGAACAUCAAGACUGCUAGAAACCAGCAGAGGCUGGAUGAGCAAGGAGCGGAUUGUCCCCUACAGCCUUUGAGGGCACGUGGCCCUGCCAACACUUUGAUUUCUGACUUGUAGCCUCCAGAACUAUAAGAGGAUCACUUCCUGUUGUUUUAAGUCACCUAGUUUGUGGCACUUUGUUACAGCAGCUCUUGAGAACUAGUGCAGAAGCGUAGACCUGGUCAACCAAGAAAUCCUGGAAACAGAAAAGGAGACUUGGUCCGUUUAAGAUCAUGACUGUAAGCAGAUUGAGGGGAUGGUUACUUGCACAUGGAACAGACAGGAAGCAAAUACAUUUUGAGGGGCUGUUACUGUCCAAAAAUGUGCCACAAGUGGGGCCUACAAUAGCCUGUGAUGGUCUUCAAAACUAUAUCUGGAGAAGAUGGCUGCAAAAUCUGUGUAUUGCCCAAGGAGUGUAGCAUCCUACGCUUGCUUCAGUUGAGCCAUGAGGGGUGCUGCACAAGGAAGGGCCUUCCAGGGCACAAAGCCAGGGGACACGGGAUGACAAGCCCGGGAAGUGCUUCAGAGAGCAGGGCCAGGGCUGCCUGUGGGGUCACCAAGGAGCUCACCCUGCUGCCAGGGUGGGGAGUCUUUGUGAUAAUUCCUGCUCGGAAGGAUUUUAAAGGGAGACUUGGGGCA